UAGAGCCCUGAGAGGAGGUGGCACCUGUUGCUCUCCCUGCUGCUGUGGUUUGUCUAGUGAUCCGAAGAGGGGAGAAGAAAUUGGAUAUCCUAACAACAACAAAGGAACAGAUGCUGAAAUCCCAGGACAGACACGGCAGCAGCAGGGGGUGACUCAGAGGAACUGGAAUGAUCUCUCCAAGAACUGCCAAGGCCCACAGGAGAGCCCCGCUGGAAUCGCCUGUCUCUGGGGGGCUCCAGAAGAAAAGGGACAGUCAUGAGUGCAGCUGUGACCUGGGCUCUGAAUUAGAGAGGUGCAGCCCCCCCAAUAUCACACAAGUACACAAUCCUGGAGGAAGCAGAGGAAAGAGAAUCCCAAAGACUACAUGUUGGUUUUGUCUUU
rnacentral:lncRNA from 1 species